UCUACAUCCCAGAUGUUUCCCCACUUGCUUGUCUGUUUUUAAUAAGCUGGAGAUGAAGUUGAAGGAUGAUCUGGCUGAGCAGGGAGUUGCUAUGAGCAGGGGAAGGAUGAGAGCUGAUUUAUAUUUCAGAAACAGCACUCUGCCUCUAUGUGGAUUGAAGAGGGGUAAUACUAGACCUAGAAGAAAUAAGUCUUCUUUAUCACUCUUUUCUAGUACUUAGGAAGUAUGCCAGGCAUAUGCUUAUUGAACUAAUUUUUUAACAAACGUGAUCCCCAUCUUGGCAGCACCUGCUCCCUGGCAUGAAAGAUGGAGCAUUGAUAACAUGGUGAAAAGUAGGUGCUGGCCUCACAUUACUCUAUGGGAGCAGCAACAGGCAAGAGACAAGGCAGUUCCACAGGGAUACACAGAAGCUACUCACAUGUUCCUCCUGUUGUCUACAGUCACGGGAAGAAAGCUAAGAGGAAUCUAAAGGAACAGAAACAUGCCAAGUGUGAAGCACAGGCACCUCCAGACCUGUAACAGUGUGGGAUUAGCUGGUACUAUUGGGAGCAGCUCUGGGCUCUGAGCCUGAUACAGAAUCCCCAAGUUUCUCUAAUGAGAGGGUGUUUUUAUUUUCCUCAAACUCUUAUACUCACUGAUGGGGAUGGUGGUGCCGGGCAGACGAGGUGGUGACAUGAGUUGUUUGGGGACUGAGAAGUCGAGUCACUGAUGGUUGGGAGGGAUUUGGAAGACACACGUGGGGAACAUGCCUGUGGAGAGCUCCAUGGAUGUGAAAGGGGAAGGGGUCUGGCAGGGGCAGUCUCACGGGUCUACUGAGAGG
rnacentral:lncRNA from 1 species